ACCCGGCUGGCGCAAUGGUAGCGCGUCAGACUUCUAGGUUCCCUGGAAACGAUCGAUAUCUGAAGGUUGUGGGUUCGACCCCCACGUUGGGUU